GCGUGGGGAUCCGGAGAGGGCGGCGCGAGGCGGCCGGGGGCCGGGUGCGCGCUCCCGCGGAGGCGCGGGCUGCGCGUGCCGGCUCGAGACGUUUCCCGGCGGCCGCAGGCGCGGCGGGCGGGUCGCGACUGCUCAGAACAGCCGCCCCACGUGCUUUCGGGGAAAUGGGCCGGGAGCGAGAAGGACUGGGAUUGAGAGGAAACCGAAAAGCGAAAGUUGCAGCCGGAGGGAGCAGUGCGCAGGCGCGCGCUCGGGGGCUUUCCCGGGGGCGUGGAUGGCUGGGCACGCGUCGGGGCGGCACCUGGGGCGACCCCGGGGCGCCGCGGGUCUGGGGCUUGCUAACUUGAGAGGGAGGGUCGCGGCGCGGGCGGGGGUCGUGUUCUAGCUGGAAGGCCCUGGAAGCUCCACUUUUCCUUCUCCCGGGUCGCAGCGCUGUCUGCACGGACUGCGCACCUCUGGUCCGCUCCUGUUUCUUCAGCUGUUGCCUUGCCUAAUCUGUGAGGGUCUUUCCCCUUUGUCCUGGGGUCUUAGCGUUCACGAUCACGCUAGGUGAGCCGGAGUGUGGGAGAAGGGUGGUGGAAGAGUAAGCUGAGGCACUGGACCGUGGUUUCCAAAAUUUGGCUGCAGGACGAGCAGUUUGAGCUCUGUGUGCUAUUUUUGUCAAUUACCAAAUGUCUCUGGAAGGCACCGUGACUGGGCUCUUUGGGCUUUGUGCAGCUGUUUUGAGGGGCCUCUGCCUGCGUAGGUGCCAACCCAGGGCCGCCAAUGCACAAGACCUCUGGGCCUCUUGUCAGAGUGGGGGCCAGCCCCCCUCCACGGCUGCACACAGAAUUUGAGGUUUAAAUGAAGGCCCCAGUGCAAAUGAACGUCUAGUGUCCCCUGUUGGAGCGCAGUGCCGUCGGAGCAUUAAGCCAAGUAUGACGCACUUCUGAGUGCCCUGUCCUGUGACAGCCCUGGGGGGGAGAAGUGGGGGGCACUUCCCUGACGAAACCUUGUCAGGUGUUUGUUAAAACACUGAGAGUUCCACAAAAAUUGUCGAGGGAGAGAGAAAAAGAACGUGCCCUCCCGAUCUGCUGCUUCACUCCGGGAAGGCCACAACGGCUGGGCUUGGCUGGGCUUGUCUGGAGCGACAGCCCUGAGCUGGGAACUCAAGCCGGUCUCCUACCUCUUGCCUCCCAGAGCCUGCGUGAGCAGGAAGCUGGAGUCAGGAGCCAGAGCCGGGCAUUGAACCACGGUGCUGUGGCGUGGGAUGCGCUGUUCCAGCCGCUACGCCAGACAUCCCCUCUCGGAGCAGAUUCCCUACCAGCGCGCUCACGCUCCUGUUGGAAAGCGUCUGCUGGCUUCCUGUAGCAGCUGCGAUGAAAUCCAGAACCCCUGGUUUUCCCUGCGGGACCCUCCAUAACUUGGCCCCGCCCCGCUUGUUCUGCGCUUCCCUUUCGCCCUACCUCUCCAGGGUCCCCUCCAUCCCUGUGGCCUCUUUCUGCACCUAAAAAGCUUCAGGUUUUUACAUGACAGGGGCACGUGCAGCCUACACUGUUCUUUUGGGGUGCUGCUGUCCUGGCUGUGUUCGUGGACUGGUUCCUUUCGGUUCUUUAGGCCUCAGCUCUGUCAGCAUCUCUCCAGGGCCUCUCUCCCACAUUCCCAGUCCUCACAGCUCCAGGACAUCUCUUGCUGCUAUUAUUAGCGUGUCUGUUUUCACCUCUCUUGGCCAGCGGUAAGCGUCAGGAGGGCCCCUGCGUUGUAUUACAGCUCUUCUCAUUCAGAGGCCCCAAUAGUAAGGGCGGAGUCACUGUGUUGGAACCCUGGGAAAAGGAAGGCAGAGAAGGCCGUGAAGGGGGCGUGGGGGAGGUCAUGCUCAAACUGCCAGUAACCGGAACUGUUAACAAGAAGUUUCUUCAACCACAGCUUACUUCAUGAGCCACACGAGGACAGCGUGUGGCUCAAGGGCAGCUGGCCACUUACAUAAGAGCACUUGCCGGGCACACUGUCUCCCAAGCCUAGUUCAACAAAACAGCCUACCGGAACCUUCAGAUUACGUGUUUAGCCUAGAAACGGCCAUUUCUCACUAAUCAGAAUUUGCCAGCUCCCCAAAGCACCAGGGAACUUCCUUUCAAAUCCACUCAUGUAACUUUUCUCUUUCUCAGUAAUACUCUAACUUUUCCUUUAUUCUUUUUUCAAAAAGAAUUACAGAGAGAAGUGGAGACGAGAGAGAGAGAGAGAGAGAGAGAGAGAGAGAGAGAGAGAUCUUUCAUCUGCUGAUUCACUCCCCAAAUGACCUCAGAGCUGGAGCUGAGUUGAUCCGAAACCAGGAUCCAGGAACUUCUGGAUCUCCCACGGAGUGCUUGGGUUUCCCUACACCAGGUGUGGUAAAGAAAAGUCUCUUGAGCUGCCAGAGGGGAUACUUGUUCUUUCUGGUUCUUUGGGAGAGCUUUCCUUGCUACCAUAGACUUGGAGAAAUCUGCUGGCCAGCUGCCUUCUUUCACCAUCACUUCCCGAUAAAUUAAGGAAGCAGAUUACAAAACUUCCUUGGCUAUGGUGACAUAUGAAUCCUUGGUAUGCUGCUACCAGUUUCUAUGUUGAAAAGUUUUUAAAUCUUCAGCCUAAGAGGUAGUAUUUCAGCCGCCUUGAGUCACGCACCACCUUGGCUUCACUGGAAACGCCCCCGACCAGCAAUGGAAAAGAAAGGGUACAUACUGCAGUUUCAAUUGUUGUGGGACUCAGGUUUUCCCUCAGCACUGCAUAUACACUUGGAGACAUGGGGAGGAGGUCCGACGGGGACUGUGGCUCAGUCGAAUCACUUCGGCUUCAAGAGACAAGAAGUUCUCUGACAAUGUGUCUGGAAAGCAGCAAAUGAUGGCUCAAGUACUUGAGUUCCUGCAACCCACACAGGAGACCGAGAAAGAGUUCCUGCCUCCUGGAUUCAGCCUGGCCCAGCUCUGGUUGUUGCAGCCACUGGAGAAGUGAACCCACAGAUGGAAGAUCUGUCUCUUUCUCUGUCUGUCCCCCUCUUCCGAAUAAAUAAAUAAAUAAAUAAAUCUUCAAAAAACAAAUAUUUUACGGCGCCAGCACCCCAGGUUCUAGUCCCGGUUGGGGUGCUGGGUUCUGUCCCAGUUGCCCCUCUUCCAGUCCAGCUCUCUGCUGUGGCCCAGGAGUGCAGUGGAGGAUGGCCCAAGUGCUUGGGCCCUGCACCAGCAUGGGAGACCAGGAGAAGCACCUGGCUCCUGGCUUCAGAUCAAUGCAAUGCGCCGGCCACAGUACACCAGCUGUAGCGGCCAUUGUGGGGUGAACCAACAGAAAAGGAAGACCUUUCUCUCUCUCUCUCUCUCACUGUCCACUCUGCCUGUCAAAAACAAUAUUUUAAAUUCAUGGGUUUCAUGGGUGGUUGAAUCUGCCCAGGCAGAACCUAUACACAUAGAACUGACUGUACUUUCAUUAAAUAAAUAGAAUGAUGAACUUAAAAUACACAGCUAAUUUCAUGAACUUUCUUUUACAGAUUCAAUAGCUAUUUUGGCUCGCUAGGCUAGGAAAGCUAGGAAGAAGGCAGAUAAAAUAUAGACCCCCAUGUACCGUCCCUGGCAAAUGAAUAAAGAGACUCUGCAUGGUAAGAAUACAGAGAGAUGAA